AGAAAAAAGCAACAGCAUAACUUCCAAGAUCAUGGUUUUGUUUCAUUUGAAAAAGUAUCAUAGACCAUGUGAGAUUCUGCGAAAUGCACAUUCAAAGAGAGAAGGCUCAGAGGGGUGGAGGAAAACAUCAGGGUGGAGUUUGUCUUCAGAUGGUGUCUGAAUGAAAACGCAAGUUUCUACACAUUCAAGAGAAACGGAGACGGAGAGCUUGACUGCAACGUCCUCCUACAGAUAUCUGAACAGAAGCUCACACUGACUCAACAUAAGCCACGGUGUAAUCUCCACUCGGAUUGAUUAUGCCAUCAAAAACAAACACAACAACAGCAAACGAGAGCAUCAUUGAACAAACUGAGGAGCAGAAAGUGCAUGU